GAGUUUGAUCCUGGCUCAGAUUGAACGCUGGCGGCAUGCCUUACACAUCGCAAGUCGAACGGCAGCACGGGAGCUUGCUCCUGGUGGCGAGUGGCGAACGGGUGAGUAAUGCAUCGGAACGUAUCCUGGAGUGGGGGAUAACGUAGCCGAAAGUUACGCUAAUACCGCAUAUUCUGUGAGCAGGAAAGCGGGGGACCUUCGGGCCUCGCGCUCUUGGAGCGGCCGAUGUCGGAUUAGCUAGUUGGU
rnacentral:rRNA from 1 species